rnacentral:rRNA from 1 species
GAUGAACGCUGGCGGCGUGCUUAACACAUGCAAGUCGAACGAUGAAGCCCAGCUUGCUGGGUGGAUUAGUGGCGAACGGGUGAGUAACACGUGAGUAACCUGCCCUUAACUCUGGGAUAAGCCUGGGAAACUGGGUCUAAUACCGGAUAGGAGCGUCCACCGCAUGGUGGGUGUUGGAAAGAUUUAUCGGUUUUGGAUGGACUCGCGGCCUAUCAGCUUGUUGGUGAGGUAAUGGCUCACCAAGGCGACGACGGGUAGCCGGCCUGAGAGGGUGACCGGCCACACUGGGACUGAGACACGGCCCAGACUCCUACGGGAGGCAGCAGUGGGGAAUAUUGCACAAUGGGUGCAAGCCUGAUGCAGCGACGCCGCGUGAGGGAUGACGGCCUUCGGGUUGUAAACCUCUUUCAGUAGGGAAGAAGCGAAAGUGACGGUACCUGCAGAAGAAGCACCGGCUAACUACGUG